rnacentral:lncRNA from 1 species
AGUGGGGAAAAGCUGGCAGUUCAGGCUUUGGAAACUCAGGCAAUUCAGGUUUUGGCAGCGUGGGAAUUUCAGGCUUCGACAACUCAGGCAAUUCAGGUAAUUUUGGCAGAGUGGGAAGUUCAGGUUUAGGAAAGGUUGGGACUUCAGGUAAUGGUGGAAGCUCAACCUUAGGAAGUAAUGGCAAGUCAGGCAAUUCAGGCUUAGGAAGCUCCGGGACCUCAGGUAAUGUUGUCUCUAGAAGCUGUCGUGCUUCUGCAGAGAUUGACAGAGCAACGAGUGAGAGCAGAACAAUGAGUGAAGGGGAGCGAAGAUUGGCCAUAACUAUGCAACAAGAUCAAUCAGCUGUAAAUACAAUUUAUCCUCACUUUUGUUUUGUGUGUGUUGAUGUUCACUUGUGUUGAGCUUUUAUAGAAGUGGGAAGUGAAGAAUGGGGAACUUCCAAAGGUGAUUUAGUGGGAAAAGUUGUGUUAGCUCAACUUCCCACCCAUAAGACUCCCACUGUUGGCAUGACCAACUAUAGACUUCCUUACAAGUGUAACCUUGCUAUCUUUCUAUAUGGAGUCCAGAGAUUGGUUAGAUUGAUAAUAAGCUAAAAUAUGGUUCUCACUUGUAAUCAUUCUCAGAAAUCAGAACACUUGUGAAGUUCAAGCUUUUUCACCUAUUUAAUAAUUCACUUCUUUCCUGUUCUACCUACAAAAGAUGAGAUUCUGAAGAAUGGUUCUUCUUUAGUUACUUUAAAAUAAUGUUCAACGAAGAUAGCCUCAUCUGCAAAGUUGGCCAACCUACACACUAAACUUUGACAUGUCUUUCUUUUUAUUGAAGCUCUGACUGAUCUUCACAUCACAUCCAAUUAUCCACAAGGUACUCUUCUAUUUGAAAUUAAGAAUUUUAUUAAAAAUUAAUUCAAUUGAUUUCUUUUAUAUCAAUCUCUUGGUUGGAAUGAGAUUCAAUUUUUUUGACUUAUAAAAUUUUCAUAUUAAAAAAAUUGAAACCAUGUGUAUUCUUGUAAGAAUUUAUUUAUAUUCUUUUUUUUUUCAAACUGAAUCAUUGCAAACAAAAGGACUAUAUAAGGUAGUAUAUAUGAUUCUCAGUUGUAAUUAUAACAGUUCAAAAUAUGUCUAAUCACAUUAGUUUCGGUAGAUCUUCAACAAACUGAAAAUUACUAAUGUUUACAACGGAAUCUGUCUCAGCAAUAUGUAAUCUCCAUAUGCUUUUUUAGUUUUCAGAAACCUUGUAAUUUUUACAGAAUAAAGGAAUUUUACCAUUACGGGUGUAACAUCUAGUUAAACUCCGAUGUCGGAAUCUCAACGUUCUGACGGAAUCUCCGUCGAGAUCCAGAAUCUCGAAGCUAAAAUUUUUAGAAGGAUAAAAUAGAGUUUUCAUAAAAUGAAUUAAAAAUUUUUCUUGGUGUGUUUUAAAAAAAAAUAAAAAAUUUAGAGGAGUUUUAAAGUUCGGCCGCCGAAGACGGCUCUUCCAGCCACUUAUAAAAGGCCUUCAACCCAAAAAUAUGAGAACUCUUUCUCUAUUUUCGAGCAGAGGUAAGUCCAUGCCCUUUUCCAGACAUUCUUGCUAAAAUUACUUCAAAUCUCUUGGAGAAUACAUGAGUUUUUACUUCAUUUUUUAAGAUUUGAGUUUGGAUUUCAAGCUUUAAACUUUGGAGACCUCCGAAAAUCGAUUUCCCAAUUCUCCAAAUCUUGGUUGUUGUGUUUUCUAUGUUUUUCAAGAGGUAAGUUCAAUCUUUGCUUUUCUUAUGCUUUUUGAAGGUUUUAAACCGAUAUUAUAAGUUGUUAGGACAUGCAUGAUUGAUUAUUCUAAAGUUUUAAAGUUUGAGUUAGUUUUGAUGAUGGAUGAUUUUCUCCUGGGAUUUUGUUGAUGCAUGUUGAGUUUAGAACAGUUUUUGAGGUCUCUUAUGCGUGUUAAGUGUGUAUGGUAGUCUUUAGCCUGUUGCAUGUAAGUUUGGGUUUGUUUAUUGGCUAUGAGCAUAGGGCAAAAUCAGGUUCUGCCUUACUGGAGAUCCUAGGUUCAGCCGCUGAAGCAAGGUUCGGCCACCAAAUCUGUCUGUAGAGGCAGCCAUUUGGCCACCUAACCUGCCGCUGAAAGUCCUCUGUUCAGCCUUUUUCAGCUUGUUUCCUACGUGUGUUCUUGUAUGUUCUUAGGGGUUUUCUUGAGGGUAGUUUAAGUAUUGUAAUAGUUAUGUUUGGUUCCUCAUUUAAAUCCAUCUAUGUAGGAUCGGACUUUGGAGACUGUAGAGGCUUGCAGUGAGAUAACUGCUUCAGUACUAGGCGUGCAUCAGUCAAAGGUGAGUAGAACUGAACUGAUAUAUUAUUUUAAAGAAAUCAAACUUUUUAAGCAUACUCAUACAUCACGAAUGUCAUGUAUAUACGAUUAGGUUGUUUUGCAUUAGAGUUCACGAAUAUAAUACAUUGCAUAAAUUAUUGUUGUUGUGGAUGGACGUUGGAUGACCCACUAGCCCUCGAGUAUGUUAUGAUAUGUUAUGAUGGAUAUGGAAAGACUAGGGUUGCCUAUUCUACGCCUCUGGCACUAUGUAAGGGAAAGACCAGGGCUGCCCAUUCUAUGCCCCUUGCACUAUGGAUAUGUUAUGUUAUAUUUAAGAGGAAAACCUGAGGAGCACUCGUCGUGGGCCGAGCACUAUUGAAAUCUGUAGAGGGUUACUGAUGACAAGUCCAUUUUGAUGUAAAUUGUUUGUGCUGUGAUGCAUUCAUACAAUCAUAUAUUUUAUUGAACUGUUUUUUUAUGUUCUGCUCACUAGACUCUUAUAGUUUAUCCCCUUUCCCCUAAUCCCAGGUUUGCAGGAUCAAAGUUAGCUCGGGAAGUCGGCUGAGUUGCUGGUAUAGCCUAUUGUAAUAGUAUAGCUAUGGAAAUAUAUUCAUUUGUGGAUUAGAAUUGUGCUUUGCCCGGGUUCUUCCUUGUAAUCCUUGUUUCAUGAUCAUUUUAUAUAAAAGUUUUUAAGUAUAAGUUUAUGUUUAAAUCGAGCUUGAGGCAUGUUAUGUCACACCCAUUCUCAAAACUGUGGAGAUGGAUAUGACCCGAAAAACUGACAGAACUUCCCCUGUUGUUAAUACAUAUAACUCAUAUGACCUGCUAUAAUUUCAAAAUAUAAAACAUAUAAGAGAUGAUUGAUAGCUAGACUGGUCAAUACAUAAUAUAUUUACAAUAAACAAAACACGUUCAUCAUUUGAAUUUACAAUCUAUACAUAAUCUGUCAAAAUUACAAAAAGAAAAGACAAGACCUAGGAUUGGUCCGACCUCCUCUAGACUCUGAGUGGACGAUGUGGAAGGAAUAACAAACUAGGAGAUGAGGACUGCUGAGCGGAUCACCAAAAAAAAACUGAAUAUUAAAAGAAAUAAGAGUGAGUACAACAUAUUCAGUGAGUGGAUAAAUAAAUAACAAAGGGGAAAAGAUAAGUUUAGGUAAUUAAUAGUACCAAAUAUUUAGCUAAAAUAAGUCAGCUGAAUAAAUACAAUUUAAUUCCUAGGCCUGGGCCUUAUAUGUUAUGUUGACCAUACCGAAGCAUUUGAUGAGGGCUCUAGUAUAGGUUUUAUGUUUUCAGUUACGAUGCAUGCACAAGUCGAGUCUUGGUUCAUGUAAUAAUUAUAUUUUUGUUGUUUGUAUGAUCAUGCAUGGAAUUAUAUCAUAUGUAAUAGGAUGUAUAGUAUGCUUGCUGUGGGCUCCAGUGACCUUAAGUCGAUUUGAACCCUAGCACCGGUAGUGGUCUGGUUCCCGGGUCGUUACAGAGUGGUAUCAAAGCCCUAGAUUCAUAUGACUGGGCCUAGAGUGUUGGGCUCAUAGAUGUUAUAGAGGGCAAAUACAAUUAGGAAAUAUUAUAUCCACUAGGAUAGAAUGUAGAGUCUUGUCAUGAUAUAUGUGAUAACCUCCAGAUCUUUCCUAGCCCAGGAAUAAGGUCGGGUCCAAAAGAAGGCACAGGUCCAAAGCCCAUCAGAUCAUACGCUCGAGAGGCGGCUCGACUUCACGAGCCUGGGCCGGCAACCCAGGAUGAUCCGGAUCAGAUAUGAGCACAAGCCCCAUAAGGGAGUAGGCCCAAUCACUCACCAGCUCUACCCGCAUGCUCUCUGGAGAGCAUUAAAUGGCCGUUACGCAUGGAGCAGGUGCCUGACACGCCCGUAUGUACGGGCCUGAGUGACAAGGACAGGAAGCACUAUAUAUCGGGGGGUCUCCUCUUGCAAGGGGGAUCUUCUUCUUUUUCUUCUCCUGCCUGGACUCCAUUUUUAUUUUCUCUGCAACUCUUGCCUAGAUAUACUACUCUUAUUCAUGAAACCUGACUUGAACGUCGGAGGGUCUCCGCUGGGGCAUCCCGGUGGACCCUUGACCAUUUUUCCUUAUUUUGCAGGUCCCUUUCUCAGAUAGAACAUGGAGAGACCCAUUUGACAGAUUCGUCUGGGAGCCCAAGAAGGAAUCAGAUCCACAUAAGAGGGGGCGAGGGAGGACCAGAUCUAACAAAUAUGGAGCCCAGGGAGAUUUAAAGUUAUCAAUAUGUAUAAUGAUGUAUAAUGUCAUGACUAUAUACAUGUGCAUUGAUGAUAUGAUAGGUAUGAUGUGGGUUCAUGUGUAUCCACAUGAACCAUAUGAUGCUAAUGCCUAUAUGUUUAAAUGAUUUUUCAGAAGACAGAAUGCAUGGCUUAUGUCGAUCUGUACGAUUGACUAGAGUCCCAUCCGAAAAAUGAGGGUAUAGACGCCCUUCCUCCUGCUGCUCCGUCAAGAGUGCGGUCAAGUAGAAAUAACAAGAAUGAAAAGUCAAGAGACCCUAUAAUGUCUUUUAAUAUAAACAAAAAGAGAACAGAUCCGAGUAGGAUGUUUGCAGAUGCCAGAAAAACAGUAGGAAAUGAUUAGAGGAGAGAUAGAAGUUUGGGUAUGAGUUUUGAAGUAGAGGGUGUGGGAGAGUCUGAAAGAGGAACAGAAGGCGUCAGACCAUAGGAUCCGCCUAUCCACCUCAGUACCAACCCUAUGCACAGGAACUCGGGUAUCCGAUGGAAAGUACAACAGAUUACUCUAGCUACCACCCAUACCCCUCAUUCAUACCCUAUCCUCCUUGCUAUUCAUUAUAUCCACCCUACCCUAUCUUAUGUUUUCGCCUCCUCCCCAUUACUAGAAUUUGGCAAACUCUAACUCAGGAAAUGUUGCACCACCUCCUCCUCCAGCAAAACCAGCUAGAAAAAAGUUUUUAUACCCAGAUAGAAAAAAGUUUUUUCUUCAAACUAUAUCAUUCAUUUUAUUUUAUUUACAAUUUUAAUUAAAUCAGUUUUUGAUAAUUUUUCAAAAAAUUAAAUUUGAAAUAAAACAGAUAUUUUUUUUAAAAAUUUUAGGACAUUAAUAAUUUUUAACUUUGAUUAGCAAUUUAUAAUAUUAAACAUUAUACUUUUUAAUUAACAACAAUUCCAUUUAAUUUUCUAAGUUCAGUAAUUCUCUUUAUGGCCCUGAACUAUUUAAUAAGAUUGAUGAGGGUCAUAGCAAAAACCAAAUAAAUAAACUGGAUCAAUUUUGUAUAUAGAAUAUAAACAUACAACGUACAUCAUACAAAAGCUGAAACAAAAAUAUUAUAGGACUAAAACUCACUUCAAAUUUAAGCAUGCAUAUAUAUAACAUAUGAAUCAGACACUUAAGAACACAUAAAUGAUACUGAUCAAUGCAAAAGCUGAAGUCAUCACAGCGAGAUCAAACGUUGAAACCCUUGUGGUAUAAUUGCUUAAGGAUUGGUAGCUGAUUCAGGUUUGGUGUCUUUGGAAGGGAAUGUGGACUUUGGUAACUCAGGCAAGUGGGGAAAAGUUGGCAGUUCAGGUUUUGGCAACUCAGGCAAGUGGGGAAAAGCUGGCAGUUCAGGCUUUGGAAACUCAGGCAAUUCAGGUUUUGGCAGCGUGGGAAUUUCAGGCUUCGACAACUCAGGCAAUUCAGGUAAUUUUGGCAGAGUGGGAAGUUCAGGUUUAGGAAAGGUUGGGACUUCAGGUAAUGGUGGAAGCUCAACCUUAGGAAGUAAUGGCAAGUCAGGUAAUUCAGGCUUGGGAAGCUCCGGGACCUCAGGUAAUGUUGUCUCUAGAAGCUGCCGUGCUUCUGCAGAGAUUGACAGAGCAACGAGUGAGAGCAGAACAAUGAGUGAAGGGGAGCGAAGAUUGGCCAUAAUUAUGCAACAAGAUCAAUCAGCUGUAAAUAAAAUUUAUCCUCACUUUGUUUUGUGUGUGUUGAUGUUCACUUGUGUUGAGCUUUUAUAGAAGUGGGAAGUGAAGAAUGGGGAACUUACAAAGGUGAUUUAGUGGGAAAAGUUGUGUUAGCUCAACUUCCCACCCAUAAGACUCCCACUGUUGGCAUGACCAACUAUAGACUUCCUUACAAAUGUAACCUUGCUAUCUUUCUAUAUGGAGUCCAGAGAUUGGUUAGAUUGAUAAUAAGCUAAGAUAUGGUUCUCACUUGUAAUCAUUCUCAGAAAUCAGAACACUUGUGAAGUUCAAGAUUUUUCACCUAUUUAAUAAUUCACCUCUUUCUUGUUCUACCUACAAAAGAUGAGAAUCUGAAGAAUGGUUCUUCUUUAGUUACUUUAAAAUAAUGUUCAAUGAAGAUAGCCUCAUCUUCAAAGUUGGCCAACCUACACACUAAACUUUGACAUGUCUUUCUUUUCGUUGAAGCUCUGACUGAUCUUCACAUCCAAUUAUUCAAGUUAAUCUUCUAUUUGAAAUUAAGAAUUUUACUAAAAAUUAAUCCAAUUGAUUUCUUUUAUAUAGAUCUCUUGGUUGGAAUGAUAUUCAAUUUUUUUUUAACUUAUAAAAUUUUUAUAUUAAAAAAAUUAAAACUAUGUGUAAUCUUGUUAGAAUUUAUUUGUAUUAUUUUCUUUCAAACUGAAUCAUUGCAAACACAAGGACUAUAUGAGAGAGUAUAUAUAAAUCUCAGUUGUAAUUAUAACAGUUUAGAAUAUGUCUAAUCACAUUAGUUUUGGUAUAUCUUGAACAAACCGAAAAUUACUAAUGUUUAUAACGGAAUCUGUCUCAACAACAUCUAAUCUCGAUAUGCUUUUCCAAUUAAUCUCGAUAUGCUUUUCCAAUUUUCAGAAGCCUUAUAACUUUUACAGAAUAAAAGAAUUUUACCACGGAGAGUUCAUUUAAUCUUUGAUUUGAUUUGAGUAAAAAUAAAUAAAUUGAAUUAAAUCAAACCAAAUUUUGAAGAGUUCAAACUUAUUUUUUAAAUUUUUUUUAAGUUUGAGUUUCAUUUUGAACUUGAGCCAAGUAUUAAUAAGCUUAAAUUUGGCUCAUUUAGCAAACGAAUUUAGAUAAAUCGAAUUUUUAUCGAGUUUAGUUUUGAAUAAUUUACGAAAAGUUCAAUUUAUUUACAUAUAUAUAUAUAAUAAGAUUUAGUUGAAAACUAAUACGUUUAAAACUAAAUAAUUUUAGUUAAAUAAGUAUAUAUAUAAAUUAGCUUUUAAAAUUAUAAAGGAUGAGUUUUUAAAUUUUAAUGAUUCAAAUAUCUAUAAAUUUUAAAAGUAUAAUUAAACUAUGCAAGUUGAACUUUAAAAAACUUAGAUCUGAUUCAUGAAAAUAUAUACAAAGUAUAAUUUAGUUCUCUUAUAAUAUUACUUUCCGUAUGCUUAUUUGAGACCGUUUAUAAGUUUGUUCGCGAGCUUGCUCAUAAAUUCGAAAAUGAGCUGAAUUCGUGAGUCUUAAAGAGUCUAAUACAAAUGAAUCUGAAAAUUAAGUUCAAUCUUGAUUCAUUUAGAAAUCAAGUUGAGUUUGAUUGAACUUUUUAUCGAAUUGAACUUUCAAUAAUUCACGGACAAUUUAAUCCAUUUACACCACUAAUAGUUAUUUAGGGUCAGAUAUAAUUGCGCUCUAUAAUAGUAGAACUAAAGAGUUGGUUCUAUUAAUUACCACAGAGCCAAUCUAUUAUUGGUCGUUGAUAGAUGCGCAUUGUGGGAGUAACCCUAAUGGAAAAAUUAAUUGAUUGAAAGCUUACUUUGUAGUCAAUAAAUUACCACUAAAAUAUGAGCUUGAUUACAAUAAUAUUUUGACUCAAAUGGCUAAAAUUUUAUCAAUUCGUCUUCUUGUCUCCUUAACAACAUCCACAUCAUUGGCCUCUUUAUUGAAUAGAUAAAAAAAAUUACUUUUUAUACGAAGAACUUAUAAAGAAAGUUCUUAUAAAGCAAUCAUCAGACCAUCAGAGUUUGUUGCUGAGAGGAUCAGGCAUGGUAUGCCAUUUAUGACAAAUACCACACGGGUUAAAAGUAGCCUGUAAGGAUGUUGUUUGGAUAGUUUAGUAAUGGGAUCCAACAGAUUAGGAUGUGUAGGAGUGAAGCCUAAUGUGCCCCUUAUAUGGGUCAUAGGCAAUCCUCCCCCUUGAGCUAGCUUUUGGGGUGAGUUAGGCCUGGCCCAAAUUUAACUUGGUAUCAAAGCCUCCCCAUCCGAUGUUGGGCCUCCCAUAAAUGUGUCACGCACCAGUAAAAUUCUGGGCGUGAGGGGGGUAUGUUGAAUCCCACAUCGGUUGUGGAAAGGGGUAAUGUGCCCCUUAUAUGGGUCAUAUAUAUAUAUAUCAUUAAAUAAAGCAUAAUUCUUGUAUAGAUUGAGUCUAUACGGACAUGUAGUAUAAAUUAUAUGUGAUUUGUUAUAGCUGUCACUACUAUUUUAUAUUACAGUCUGAUGACUGCUGGAUUUCUUCACCCCGACCUAAAGGCCAGGCCCCUGAAAACAGUCCAUAAUCCGAAGGCUUCAAUAUUCCCCUCGAGAGCCAGGUCUAGCCCGCUCAGUCACAGGGCCGGACUCUGCCUAGACUCCUCAAUCAAGCCGGCCCAAACCUCUCGGCCCAAUAAUCAGGCCCUCACCAGGCUCAACUUCAGCCCUACCAUUCAACCCAGCCCAGAAAGAGGAAAAUGACUAACCUGCCCCGCUGAUGGGUCCUUCCGCAUGCGUAUCAGAGGAGAAUUAAUGGUCGUUACGCAUGGAGCAGGCGCCUGACACAUCCGUACAUACAGAGCUGGGCGGCAGAAGACAGCUAGCAUUGUGGCAGAGAGACAGAUAUAUAUAUUACAGUAGAGGCCACGCAAAAGAGGGGGCUCUCUCUUCUUCUUCCUUCUCCUUCCUGGACACCAUUUUUAUUCUUUCUGCAACCCUUGCCUAAAUAUACUACUCUGAGCCAUAAAAUCUGACUUGAGCGUCGGAGGGCCUCCACCGGGGCACCCCCGGUAGGCCCCUGACCAUUCUUUCUUAUUUUACAGGUCCUUUCACCAGGUAAAACAUGGAGAGAUCCAUCAGGGAGCCCAGCAAGAAGGGACCCAGAAGAAAACCAGAUCUAUCAUGGACCAGGAAGAGGAAAAAAUUUAUCACAGUCCAUAUAAAACCGGUGUAGAUAAGUUUUUGCCCUUCAAGGAAAAUUGGUAAAAGAAUAUAAUUAGUAAAUUCUUUCAAUUUUUAGUAUAUGGAAAAUAAUUAUCACCCAUGAUUGAAUUAUUGGACAACAUCAUCAAAGAGAACUCUAGCAAAGUCCUUUCGUAUUUUCAUAUUUUCACUCUGUACCGAAUAAUUUUUGUUUUUUUUUUUUAAAUGAGAAUUGGAGAUUAGGAGAGUAGAACCUAAGCUUGUAAAUGCAGAUUGAAUAGUCUUAUAAUUGAAAUAUCUAAAUAAAAUCAUAAACAAAAUGAAUUUUAACUCAGAUCUUAACAAAUUAAUAUAAUAAUCUCAAUUUGAUCUAGUGUAUCUUUUGAUUUACAGUUUUUUAAGUCAAAUGUCAAUGAUAAAUUUAAAAUUUUAGUAGUUUUUUUCUCGUAACUCUAUUCCUAUUAUUAGAAUCUCUCUUUUACCGAAAAAUUCUUCAUAGUUAUGGAGGAAAAAUUUUUCUUUUUCUUGAAAAACUUAUCAUUUAUUUUAUUUUAUUUAUAAUUUUAAUUAAAUCGGUUGUUCAUAAUUUUUCAAAAAUUUAGAUUUGAAAUAAAAUAUAUUUUUUUUAAUUUUAGGCCAUCAGUAAUUUUUAAGUUCAGUGACUCAUAAUAUUAAAUUUAUAUUUUUUUAAUUCACAACAAUAUUUUAAUUUUUAAGUUCUGUAAAUUCUUGUGGCUCUGUGUGAAUGUGCUUGGAUCAUGAACUAUCAAUAAGAUUCAUCACAAUCAUACCCAAGAUCAAGAUCAAAUAAAUAAGCUGAUCAACUCUGCAAAUAGAAUAUAAACUGUACAUCAUACAAAUAUUUGAAAUAUAAAGAUUACAGGACUAACAUCCACUCCAAAUUUAAUCAUAUAUAUAUGUAAUCAAUGAUACUGAUCAAUGCGAAAGAUGAAGUCAUCACUGUGAGAUCAAACAUCGAAACAUUUAUGGUAUAGUUGUUUAAGGACUGGGAGUUGAUUGAGGAGGUUUUGUGUCCUUGGCAAGGAAUGUGGGCUUUGGUAACUCUGGCAAGUGGGGAAAAGUUGGCAGUUCAGGUUUUGGUAACUCAGGCAAUUCAAGUUUUGGCAAAGUGGGAAUUUCAGGCUUUGGCAACUCAGGCAAUUCAGGUUUUGGCAGUGUGGGAAGUUCAGGCUUAGGGAAGGCUGGGACUUCUGGUAAUGGUGGAAGCUCAACCUUAGGCAGUGAAGGCAAUUCAGGCUUGGGAAGCUCAGAUACCUCAGGCAAUGCUGUUUUUAGAAGGUGUCGUGCAUCUACGGAUUGACAGAGUGAUAAGUGAGAGCAUAAUGAUGAGGGAAGGGGAGCGAUGAUCGGCCAAAAUGCGACAAGAUCAACCACCUGCAAAGUGAAUAGUAAUUAAAAUUUCUGGACAAUUUUGUUUUGCGUGUUGAUGUUCACUUAGUGUUGAGCUUUUAUAGAAGUGGGAAGUGGAGAAUGGAGAACCUUCAAUGGUAAUUUGGUGGGAAAACUUGUGUCCUGUUAGCUCAACUUCCCAUCUAUAAUCCUCCAACAACUGGCAUGACCCAUUAUAGGCUUCCAUACAAAAGUAAUCUUUCCGUCCUUCUACAUGGAUUCAAGAGAUUAGUUGGAGAGAACCACAGCUAAAAGAUUGACAUUAAGCUAAAAUAUGUUGUCAGAAAUCACAACACUUGUCAAGUUCAAGCAUUUUUACAAAUUUAAUAAUUCACCACCACUAAACUUUGACAAAUCUUCCUUUAUUGCAACGCUUAUUGUUAUUGUUGGAAUUUAAUGACUGACCGAUCCAAAUCUCCAUGCGAUGAAAGUGUUGAAUUCCAAUUUAAUAUGAUGGCCUCUUCUAAAAUACUUCUAGACAAUUUAAAUUAAAUUUCAAUUAACUUAUCAUAUUAUAAAGCUUAUUAUUAUCAAUGUCAAGACUACGUUAUGAAAAAUAUCUUUCAUAUUUUUUGUUAUUUGGAAUAAUGAGAAAAAUUAAUCAAUAAAAAUAUUUUCUUGAUUAAAGAAAAAAUUAAAUCAUUUUAAAAAAAUACUGCUUCUUGGCUCUUUCUUUCUCAUCAAUUCUAUUUUCCUGUUGUGCUCUUCCAACAAAUCCAUAGUCACCAACUUGCCCUUUGAAAUUUAAAUUAUUGGACGACAUCAUCAACGAGAAUUCUAGCAAAGUUCUCUAAUAUUUUCUUCAUCAAUGUUGAAUUUUGAGAGGGAAGGGGAAUAAUACAUAUGAAUGCGACUAAAUAGUCUUACAAUUUUAUUGAUUGUAUUGUUAUUUAUACAGUCAAAUAUAAUUAAAAAAUCUAAAUAAAAUUAUAAAUAAUUUAAAUAUUAACUUAAAUAUUAAUAAAUUAAAAUAAUGAUUCAAAUUUAAAUUAUAUGAUUUAGCAUAUUUUUCGGUUUCUAAAUCAAAUAUCCAACGAUCAAUUUAAAAUUUUAGUACUCAUAAGCCCUUGGUAUUAUUAGAAACUCUCUUACUAAAAUUUUUUAAUAAUUAUAAAUAAAAAAGUUUUAUUUUUCUUUCAUAAUAUUAGAAAUAAAACCAUAUCAUUUAUUUUAUUUAAUUUGUAAUCGAAUUAAAUCGGUUGUUCAUGAUUUUUUGAAAAAUUAGAUUUAAAAUAAAAUGGAUAAUUUUUUAAUUUUAGGCCAUCAAUAAUUUUUAAGUUCAGUAAUUCAUAAUACUAAAAUUUUUUAAAAAAAUUCACAACAACAAUUUAAUUUUUAAGUUCAGUAAUAAUUUCUCUUUGUGGCUCUGCAUGAAAGUGCUUGGAUCAUGAACUAUUAAAUAAGAUUGAUCAGUCAUACCCAAAAUCAAAUAAAUAAGCUGGAUCAACUCAGUAUAUAGAAAAUGAACUCACAAGAUACAUCAUUCAAACAACUGAAACAGAAAUAUUAUAGGACUACCACUCACUGCAAAUUAAUCAUGUAUAUGUAAAAGAAGAUAUAAAUGAUACUGAUCAAUGCGAAAGAUGAAGUCAUCACUGUGAGAUCAAAUAUAGAAACACUUAUGGUGUAGUUGUUUAAGGACUGGUGGUUGAUUGAGGAGGUUUUGUGUCCUUAGAAGGCAAUGUGGGCUUUGGCAACUCAGGCAAGUGGGGAAAAGCUGGCAAUUCAGGCUUUGGCAACUCAGGCAAUUCAGGUUUUGGCAGUAUGGGAAGUUCAGGUUUAGGAAAGGUGGAGACUUCAGGUAAUGGUGGAAGCUCAACUUUAGGCAAUGAUGGCAACUCAGGCUUGGGAAGCUCAGGUACCUCAGGCAAUUCUGUCUCCAGAAGGUGUCGUGCAUCUACAGAGAUUGAUAGAGUGAUGAGUGAGAGCAUAAUGAUGAGGGAAGAGCGAAGAUCGGCCAUAAUGCUAU